rnacentral:pre_miRNA from 1 species
CAUUUCAUGGAGGUCGACUUGUGCUUCUGGCUACAAGCACCCUCCAUGAUAAGC